CCGGUCAAUCGCUUCCCACGCGUGUUCCCACGCAAUGUCACACGUGCCCGAGCCGUCGAAUGCGUACGUUCGUAAACGCUCGUAAACGCUCGUAUUAAACUCAAACAUCAGGCAUUUCUGAAUCGCCAAUGUGAGUCACGCUUUACCUAGUUACUGGCUGGGCUGUGUUGCCAUAUUGAGCUCAUUGCGACGAUUAUCCAUACUUGUUGAAAACAAGCGAGUUGCCUGAACACGUAUCAUAGCUUCAACCACAAAAACAACGCGUUACGUGAUGAGUGAAUAUUUUGAAAUUGAUACAAUGGACACGGCAAUCACCAUUCAACUAUUUCGAUUCCGUACAGGAGUUCUACGCGAUACAAAUGAUGCUAAAGCCUAAAGAUUAAAUCUAAGUCUAUUUUUUCCUCUCGAAGACGCGCAUUUGCGCGGGGUAUGUUUACGUGAUCGACCUAUUCUUGUGUUUGCGCCGAGCUGAUCCCGAAGAAACAGGAUCGGUAGCGCUCGGAUAUACCGAGAGGAAAUUACGCUGAGACAGCUGGACAUUGAAGAGUCAUCAGUUAAGUUACCGCUCAGUAGAAAGAUGAGGAACACGUGUGUGACAGUACCUGAGGUAGAGGGAAACUAAAAGUAAAUUCAGUUAUCUUUUCACACAGGACUGAGACGAAGAUAAGUGUGUUCUUGAAAUAACUAGAUGUAGGGAAAUUGAGCCAGAUUAUACAACUGAUAUAUCAUUGCUAUUUACCUUGCGAUGACAUGAUUGUCGACUUUAAUGAGACAGUAUGGAUCACUUCUGCCAAGUCUGAAUAUGAUAAAAAUAUAAUCAUCAGUCAAUUUCACGGUGCAUUUAGGAAAUUAGCAAUGAGGAGUCAAAAGGUCAAGACGAUGUUUGGCUGUUAUUUUGGUCACUGUAGCACUUCGCGCCGGGAGCGGCGGGGGGGGGAACCUCCAGUUAUCAAGAUAACACGUACAUGCUUGUGUUUGCUCAAUGAAAACUGGCUGGCCAAUAUCAUUUCCGUUGAACAGCGCUUAUCGGAAGGAGGUGACGCAGCUGGAGAUGCGAGGCCUCUCUGAGAUCUUUUGUCAGCUCAAGAUCGACUGGUCUAUUCCACCAGAUUACAGGGAAAUUUUACCGAAUAAUUGACGAAGUUAGCGCAGUUAUCUUUUGAAUAAAAAGGAGAAAUUAUUGGACUGGUUUUAGCCCUGAAUUAAAUCGCAUCGCGUAGGAAAACAAGAGUAUUAAAUAAAA